UUUAUUGGAGAGUUUGAUCCUGGCUCAGGAUGAACGCUGGCGGCGUGCCUAAUACAUGCAAGUCGAGCGAAUGGAUUGAGAGCUUGCUCUCAAGAAGUUAGCGGCGGACGGGUGAGUAACACGUGGGUAACCUGCCCAUAAGACUGGGAUAACUCCG
rnacentral:rRNA from 1 species